CUCAAGACUCACCUGGCCAUUUCUUCCUGUCUUGUUACUUACAGGGGCAUCAGCCCAAUUUGUAUUGACUCAACCAGCUUCCUUGUCAGCACGUCUUGAAGGAAAGAUCCAGAUCUCCUGCACGAGGAGCAGUGGAGCUCUGUCUGGCUACUAUGUGUCCUGGUAUCAGCAGAAAUCCAUCAAGCCACCCAAACUACUGAUUUAUCAGCACGUCUACAGGCCUGCUGAUGUUCCAGACCGAUUCUCUGGGGCAACCGACAGUUCCAGAGCUACUUUAACAAUUACGGGUGUUCAACCAGAAGACGAGGCAAAAUAUUAUUGUCAGUCUUAUGACAGCAACUGGAUGUUUCACAGUGAUGCCACCUGCACAGGGAAGUGA